rnacentral:rRNA from 1 species
UACGGGGGGGGCAAGCGUUGUUCGGAAUUACUGGGCGUAAAGGGCGCGUAGGCGGCCAACUAAGUCAGACGUGAAAUCCCUCGGCUCAACCGGGGAACUGCGUCUGAUACUGGAUGGCUUGAAUUCGGGAGAGGGAUGCGGAAUUCCAGGUGUAGCGGUGAAAUGCGUAGAUAUCUGGAGGAACACCGGUGGCGAAGGCGGCAUCCUGGACCGGCAUUGACGCUGAGGCGCGAAAGCCAGGGGAGCAAACGGG